GAGGGUAAUCAAUUCUCUCAUACCUCAAUUUUAUUUUCCCAAUUCCUUCCCUAUUCUAGCAACCGGUCAACAUGCAAACCGAAGCAAAUAACUGCACAAGUAGCAAGUGGAAUAUGCAUCAGGAUGGUCUUUGAUUCUGGGGUCCACCUGUCCUAGACGGACCCAACUCCUAUGUUGAGUCCCCAAAGUCAAAUGCACAUGAUGCAGACAAAUGUUCCUACUAGGGAUCCGGCAUGAGUCAGAGUUAUUCUAAGUUUAAAACCUGGGUAUAUUGUUCUAUACUUGUGUACCCGAGCGGACAACUCGAGCCGCGGGGGGNNNNNNNNNNNNNNNNNNNNNNNNNGGCCAUCCGGCUUUGUAACUUGUCCGAGCCUCUUUCUUAUUUCAAGGUAUGACACUAAUAGAAAGAGGAGUCACGCAAGCGUGCACAUCCCCGAAGAUAAGAAGAGAAGGGUUUCGUAACAUUUUAUAUACCAUUCAAAUAAAAUCAAAGCGGUAAAAAGAGACAUUUAGCACAUUAGGCCCAAACAUGCAAUAAACAAUCAGAUAACAAAUAAAAGCCAAUUAUAAAAGUUAUUCUAAGCUCGAAUUCUUAAUCCCUGAACAAAAGUUCUGGGUUAUGUUCCCCAGCAGAGUCGCCAGAGCUGUCACACCUCCUUUUUACACACCCGAUGGUAUAGAUAGGGUGUUUUUCCAAUUUAAGUGACAUUAUUCGAAAUGAGACUAUUUAAUUUAUUUCAGAGUCGCCACUUGGGAUAUUAUUAUGUUGUCACAAGUCACCGAUUUAUUUUAAGUCCCAAAUCGAGGAAAUUCGACUUUCUUUUUGAAGUCUGCGAACCAGAAAUUCUAAGUAAGGAAUUCUGUUAACCCGGGAGAAGGUAUUAGGCAUUCUCGGGUUCCGUGGUUCUAGCACGGUCGCUUAAACUAUUGUUAUUGGCCUAUUAUCUGAAUUUAAUACACGUUUUAGCCUAUGGUUCAAUUUGCUUAUUAACCGCUUUUAAUAAUUAUUGUUACAUAUUGCAAAUCAUGUCACGGGAACCGUACCCACGAUUUACAACAUGUUUAAUUUUUAAAGACUAAAUUGUAGACGGGUCACAUAAAUGCACCCGCGGGUUUUAGUAACUAGGUGUCACAUCUACGUCACGGGAACCGCAGCCAUAGCUAUGACAAUUAAUUAAUUAACGUGCCUAAAGCAACUACGAAAUUUCAUGGCAAUUUCUAUACUAAUUUUUAUUUAUAUAAGAUCCAUAAAUUGUAGGAUUUUAUUUGUAUAUGGCACACCCCAAUUUAUUUGAUCUAAAUUUGUGAGGGCCAAGUGUUAUGGAUUUAAAGCAUGGCACACCUCAACUUAUUCUUAAAAAAAAGUUUUAUAUUUUAAAGGCAAACUAAAGGUGCUCUCAUUUUUUUACUAAUUUAAAAACUAGCUAUCACAAUCACAUCACGGGAACAGUACCCGUAGUCUUAAUAAUUUUAAAAUCGGACCUAAAACAAGACACGAGUAUAAUGAUGUAAACAACAAAGGUAAUGAACUAACAAUAUUGUUGCGAGACAGUUUGUUAGCCUUUUCAUAGCAGAAACUCAAACUCCUACAAUAAGCAUGUUAUUAGAUGCCUAUUUGAAGUGAAACAACGUUCUUUCAUAGAGAAAGUUAACAAUUAAUUGUAGUGGAAUUUAUCACUCACGUAUGCUAAUUUUACCUAAGAGCCGCAGUUCUCUUAAUUUGAGUUUACCAACAAAGAACAACUCUUGACCCAACAACACCAAAGUUUAUACAAACACACACAUGCCAUUCAAUGAACUAAGUGACUAAAUAAUUAGAAAAGUCACAUAAUACUAAGCUAAAUGAAAACAAGGAAAAUGAAUUUUUUAUCACUUCAAUUCAAUACAUGUCAAAUGAUGCGUUUAAAACAGUAAGCACCUAAAGUUAAUUUAAAAUAAAACUUUGAUUCAUGAGCUUCAAUUAAGUGACAACAAACUUAACGCCUCAAUCAUACUUCACUUUUGAUAAACGAGAAGGAACCAGUAAUUGAAAAUUGUAAAUGAGGCUAUUAAGUAAGAACACCAAGGUUUGUAUUUCAGUUACCCAUUUUCACAAUCAAAUUCACAAAACUUAACUUAUAGGCGAUCAAAGUCAGAGUUGAUUUGAAGAGCUCCAAACACAUUUUAAGACACACAGUUAAAUUAUGGACACUAACAGAUCUUUUCCGAUAACAAAUUAGGACAGCUUCAACCAAUAAAUCAGUCGUAAUUAAAGCAAGAAAAUUAAUCAAAUAAGUUAUAUAGUCAUGUGUAAAACUCAAAUCAAUCAAAUACCAACUCAGUGAUCCCAAAAUCAAAUUAGAUUUGCAACCCAAUGUGUCUGAACCAAACAAAUCAAGAAUCGUAAAUGUUCAAUCUUAGAAGUAAAACCAACACACUUAGCGGGAAGAGAUGCAAACUGAAUAAACUUAAACGGAUAAGAGGAAAUCAAGAACGAACCUGUUAAGUAAUCUUUCUUUAUAGCAAUUAUAGAAUCGACAAAUACACUGUUUUCUUGACUCCAAAAUUCCAGCGAGAUUCAGCAACAAUAUCGAGCAAAAUUUGCAAGCCAAAUCGAAAUUUCGAAAGACCACUUCGGACAGAAUCGACAAAGUGCAGAAAAUGCAAAACUCCAGCCCCAAUCUUCAACUUGAGGAUUUAAACCAAACUUCCUUUCUAAAAAAAAGAACAGAAAUCAAGAGAAAAAGAAAACAAGGUUAGAAGAAAUCUAUUUCAACAAUCUUUUUUUUAUUUUUUCUCUUAAAAAACAAAACAAAGCUCGAAUGAAAACUAAAUUCAAGCCAUAUUUUUUGUGUAUCUUUUCUGAAAAAAAUGACAAAGAAGACUGAAAAAGAAAAAGGAAAAGAAAACUUGAAGGAAAGUGACGACUAAAAAUCUAGAAAUUGACUAAGAUUUCUGAAAAGUUUCUCCGAUUUUUCCUCUAACCUAGCAUAUAAGACUUACCUCAUAUAUAUAGCCUUCAAAAACUUCAAACAAUCUGCCCAAAAUCCAAA
rnacentral:lncRNA from 1 species